rnacentral:rRNA from 1 species
UACGUAGGGGGCGAGCGUUGUCCGGAGUUACUGGGCGUAAAGGGCACGCAGGCGGUGCGGCGCGUUUCGCGUGACAGCGGAGGGCUUAACUCUCCGAGGAUGCGAAAGACGGCGGCACUUGAGGGCCAGAGAGGGACACGGAAUUCCGGGUGGAGUGGUGAAAUGCGUAGAUAUCUGGAGGAACACCGGUGGCGAAGGCGGCAUCCUGGACCGACACUGACACUGAGGAGCGAAAGCCAGGGGAGCAAACGGG